rnacentral:pre_miRNA from 1 species
CAACUACUCCCUCUGUCCCAAAUUUCUUGUCUUAGAUUUGUCUAGGUACGGAUGUAUCUAAUACUAAAAUGUGACUUGAUACAUCCGUAUCUAGACAAAUCUAAGACAAGAAUUUUGGGAUGGAGGGAGUACUUC